rnacentral:rRNA from 1 species
AGAGUUUGAUCAUGGCUCAGAUUGAACGCUGGCGGCAUGCCUUACACAUGCAAGUCGAACGGUAACAGGUCUUCGGAUGCUGACGAGUGGCGAACGGGUGAGUAAUACAUCGGAACGUGCCCGAUCGUGGGGGAUAACGAGGCGAAAGCUUUGCUAAUACCGCAUACGAUCUACGGAUGAAAGCGGGGGAUCUUCGGACCUCGCGCGGACGGAGCGGCCGAUGGCAGAUUAGGUAGUUGGUGGGAUAAAAGCUUUCCAACCCGACGCUCUGUAGCUGGUCUGAGAGGAUGAUCAGCCCCACUGGGACCGAGACACGGCCCAGACUCUUACGGGAGGCUGCAAUGGGCGUCUUUUUCCAGAGAUCCAUCUCUGUGCCGGCCUCCUCGAUUCCUCUGUCUCGUCGUGUGUUACAUGGUACAACACGAGUAUGGCCAUUGAUUACCGGAUUCA